GGGGCUGUGGCUCAGCAGUUAAGAGCACUAGGACCUGGGUUCAAUUCCCAGCACUCACA
rnacentral:tRNA from 1 species